UCGAUUAAGUGUUUGGGGCCGGUACGGCCCACCCCAGCCAGAUACGUAAGGUCGAGGAGUUCCCACACUUGGACGAAAACAGUCAUCCUACGGGAGGCAGCCAGUGAGGAAUAUUGUCCAUGACCGAAGUUCUGAACAGCAGUAGGCUGCAGAUGACCGACCUAUGGUUUGUAACUGCUUUGUACGGGAAUAAAGUCGGGGACCGUGUCCCCGUUUGUAUGUACCGUAGAAUAAGGACCGGGCUAAUUCCGUGCCAGCAGCCGCGGUAAUACGGAAGGUCCGGGCGUUAUCCGGGAUUUAUUGGGUUUAAAGGGAGCGCAGGCUGGAGAUUAAGCGUGACGUGAAAUGCCGCGGCUCAACCGUGGAAGUGCGUCGCGAACUGGUUUCCUUGAGUGUAUUCGACGUCAGCGGAAUUCGUGGUGUAGCGGUGAAAUGCUUAGAUAUCACGAAGAACUCCGAUUGCGAAGGCAGCUGGCGAGGCUAUAACUGACGCUAAAGCUCGAAGGUGCGGGUAUCGAACAGGAUUAGAUACCCUGGUAGUCCGCACGGUAAACGAUGGAUGCCCGCUGUAUGCGAUAUACUGUAUGCGGCCAAGCGAAAGCGUUAAGCAUCCCACCUGGGGAGUACGCCGGCAACGGUGAAACUCAAAGGAAUUGACGGGGGCCCGCACAAGCGGAGGAACAUGUGGUUUAAUUCGAUGAUACGCGAGGAACCUUACCCGGGCUUGAACUGCAGGAGAACGAUUCAGAGAUGAUGAGGCCCUUCGGGGCUCCUGUGGAGGUGCUGCAUGGUUGUCGUCAGCUCGUGCCGUGAGGUGUCGGCUUAAGUGCCAUAACGAGCGCAACCCCUGCGACUAGUUGCCAUCAGGUAAAGCUGGGCACUCUGGUUGGACUGCCACCGUAAGGUGUGAGGAAGGUGGGGAUGACGUCAAAUCAGCACGGCCCUUACGUCCGGGGCUACACACGUGUUACAAUGGGAGGUACAGAGAGUUGGUCUUGCGCAAGCCGGAUCUAAUCCUAAAAGCCUUCCUCAGUUCGGAUUGGGGUCUGCAACCCGACCCCAUGAAGCUGGAUUCGCUAGUAAUCGCGCAUCAGCCAUGGCGCGGUGAAUACGUUCCCGGGCCUUGUACACACCGCCCGUCAAGCCAUGAAAGCCGGGGGCGCUUGAAGUCCGUGACCGCAAGGAUCGGCCUAGAGCGAAACUGGUAAUUGGGGCUAAGUCGUAAUUCAACUGGCCCUUUUUAACCCCC
rnacentral:rRNA from 1 species